UCGUAAUUUAAUGAGAAAAGAUGGAAAUAGGCAAAAUAAAUUAAAUCUUACGAGAGUCCAAAUAUUACAAGAAAAAAGUCGUACAUUAGUCACCAUUUUCCUAGAAAACAAGUUUCAUUAUGAGAAAGUAUUGAAGUAAAAUGAAACUUGUUUUCACAGCCCUGCAAGAAAUUAAACAUAAUUCGGAGCAGUCAUCCAAAAAAAAAAACCCCACACACACAAAAAAGGUCAAGUUGCAACAUUUUGAGAAAAUACCACAAAUUUUCAAGUACCGGUAACAAAAAUCACAAUUAUGAGAAUAAUUUUCGAAGAAUAUGACAAAAGAUUGUUGAUUUUUUUUCUAUGAAUUUUUGAGGACAGUUGUAAUUUUUUUUAAAGCAUUCUAACAUUGUCAUCAUUUUAUGAUAAAAUUGCAAUUCUGUGAGAAACAAAUUUACACACUUCUGAAUAUUGCUAAUUAAGCAAAAAGGUGUAAAAGAAAAAAACAUCUUUGACAAUUUUUCUUGUCUGCAGAAAAAUAUCCCGACCAAGAAAAUGCUCAUGGAGUCUCUACCGACUCUUAUGUCAACGUUUGCACAAGUGUUUUUCUAUGGGCCCACCCUCUCUCUACCCCCCUCCCCUCCCCUCCCAUGCGUACUUUCAAGACAAUAUUGCUGACUUUUAACUUGUCACAUUUCACUUUGUGACAUUAUCGUAUUUGACAGCAGGUGCCUCAAAAAAACGUUGGUGGCCAUUCCUUGCUCUGCCCACCUUCGAUGUGGUGUCUGACUUUGCAGGAGAUGCUGUCGCGGAGCUCAUAUAGUGGGGGAGACUAAAAUUAACAGUUUACUUGUAUUUAUUUUAUUUAAGUGUUGUUGUGUUGUCAACAUAAGUGCAAAUAAGCAAUACAAUCUUUGUUUUUCUGUUGUUACUAAGGGAUGAUUACGAUUUCACAUUAAUACCGCAGCAACUCACAAACAUUUCAUAUCAACCUGACAAAAGAUUAGCAAUCAAGUUUCUUGCUUUUGUGUGUGCGUGCGCGGAGGUCAAGGAAAAAAGACUGUUGAGCACAGAUGUUUUUUUGUUUUGUUUUGAUUGCCUAUUAAUUUAAUUGUUUUCUGUCAGUAUGCUGCAAUCCAAAGAGAGAACGUGUAUUAUAUGAAAAAGAAACAUCUAUCAUGUGUUUUUUUUUAAUUUGUAUCAUUUGAACAGUAAUCUGAUAAGAAAAUAAAGAAAAGUGAAAGAUCAAUGAAUACUUUUUUUGUUGAUAAAUACCAUGUCCAUAGGGACAUUAAUGCUGUAGUACUUGGUUUACAUUCCUAACUACCUUUGAACUGGUAACUAGUAACUGUAUCGCAAUUAAUUUUAAUAGUACCCUCCCAAUCCCUUUUUAAACAUAUGGCCCCGAAUUGCCUUUGACUUGGCCUUAUUUUCAUAUUCGCGUUCAUACAAAAUGAGAUUUUCUCAAAGUAAGUAAAAGUCCAUUGAUUCAGUCGAUUUCAUUUUACAGUCACGUUUCCUCUUCAUCAUUCAGAUUUUACAGCGAUAAACCAAAAAAAAAAAAAAAAUGAGCUACAGUUAAUAAUGAGCUACAUUUCCCUUUAAAAGGAUGCCAGGCGAAGAACAGGGCCGUACACACGGGUGGGUCCGUGGGGUGGGCGGCUUACAAAAAAAGGAUAAGUUAGGUGUUGUGUUCAAGAAAACUGGGAAAUCAGAUACUGUAUUUCAGACCAGAAAAUCACGGGUCAGGUGGGGGGGCGUUUUGUGGGAAAUACGCCUUUUCAAAAGACGAUCAAAACAACCAUCAAGGGAUUCUCUUAAUUUGACAUAAUAUUGAAAAGUGAAAUUUGAAACAAAAAAAAAAAUGUAAUUUUCAAAGUAUGAUUCCAAAAUCUAUUUUGAGGACAGGUGUCAAAUUCAAGUCCAUGCGGCCAGAUCUGACCAACCCCAAAGGGGGUUUAGGGCUUCAAAGCAAUCUUAUAAAGUGUAUUGAAUGUUUAAAAAAUAGGGCUACAGUUUCAAAGUAAGGUUUGGGUUUCAAAGCAUGAGAUGUUGCGUCACCCUGGCCACUUCACUGAAAAACGUCAGACUGUGCCCCUUUUCUAAAAAUGUUCUUCUCAUGGAUGUCAGUUGCCCCCCCCCCCCCCCCCCCCACCAAUUUCCAUUUUACUGCACCAUGGAUUCGGCACUCGAUAUUUCUGACGUCCCACCUUCGUUUGAACGCACCACCCUCGGACAUGAUGAGUGUCCACUGGGAUGAAAGACAAGUUGAGGUAUUUGCGGUAGUGUGUCAGGAAUUUGCACGUUGCAGAGCCAUCGUGGACGUAGUCUUCACGACAACAACACAGACAACAAAAGGCACUUGAACACAAAUUCUUUUGGGGUUGUUAAAAUGAUUCCACUGUGAAUGAUUACAAUUGAUAAAAACAUCAAAAUCUGUCAACAAAAGAGAGGAAGAGUGAAAUCGUGCUUGAUCAAACAUCUACAAUGACUCCCAUGUCAAUUCUUUUUUUCGACACGUUUGACGGCAUAUUUUCAGCUGCAGUCUCAGUGUGCCCUCGUUUAGCUGCUACAUGUGAAUGUGGAUUGAAAAAAAAUAAAAGCAUCUUUAAAAGCAACAAAGAAAACGAUACCUGGUGUUUGAAACACAUCGUAAGGCAGAAAUCCAACUGAAAAGAGUUUUGGAGUGACUCCACACUUUUGAUGUGUCGAAAUAAAAACAUCCGUUUGAAAAGCAAAGACUUUGGCUUCUGUCAAUGGAAGCUACUUUUCGUUCCUGGAAUUGGAAACAUGUUUUUGUAGAACUUAAAAAUUGCACCCUCACAGUUUAUAUUAAGUAGGAUAUAUCUAUCUAUAUGUAUACAUGUACAGUACAUUAGAGGAAUAUGUAUUUUUCUCAUGUGACAUAACAGCGCAUCGUUACGGUAAUGGACGCAAGCUGGAUGGCCACCCUGGGUUUGAUUGGCCGAAUGAGGUUUCGUUGUUGUGUUUUAUGGAUGCCACGCAACUCUAAAAUUGUUCAUAUAACUUA